rnacentral:lncRNA from 15 species
GCACACACAGCUAUGCAGUGGGUGAGCUGACACCCGGAGUAUAUAAAGCAUGUUGAGGUCUCAUCUCAGCUAUCCUUCCGUUUACCCAGCAGCGAUGGCAGCAGCAGCUUUGUCCAGAAGCAGAGGAGUGGCUGGUGUCACAGCCACCAGAGGCCUGCUCUUCAUCUUCUCCCUACUGUAUUUGGUUUGUCUCGCAAGUUCAUUCAUUGACAAGGACCAACUGGUAAAUGUAUUUUUGCUUAACUUCCCUUUGCCAUAGAAAAAAAUUAUUCACAUUUAUCCACAGCCAUUAUGAGUCAUCACAAACACAUUUACUGUUGAAAAGGAACAUCACCUGAUGACUUUCCACCAGUGGAUGGACUUCUGCAGAGCGUCAAGGCCUACAUGGAGAAAACCAAGAGUUACGUGGAAGACAAAAAAGUGAAGUUAGGUGCAGAACUAGAGAACCUUGAAAAGGAUCUCGAAAAAAAGAAGAAAUUAAUCAAAUUCCUUGAGGAGCAG